rnacentral:rRNA from 1 species
UACAGGGGGGGCAAGCGUUGUUCGGAAUUACUGGGCGUAAAGGGCUCGUAGGUGGCCAACUAAGUCAGACGUGAAAUCCCUCAGCUUAACUGGGGAACUGCGUCUGAUACUGGAUGGCUUGAGUUUGGGAGAGGGAUGCGGAAUUCCGAGGUGUAGCGGUGAAAUGCGUAGAUAUCUGGAGGAACACCGGUGGCGAAGGCGGCAUCCUGGACCAACACUGACACUGAGGAGCGAAAGCCAGGGGAGCAAACGGG